rnacentral:rRNA from 1 species
UACGUAGGGUGCAAGCGUUGUCCGGAAUUAUUGGGCGUAAAGAGCUCGUAGGCGGUCUGUCACGUCUGCUGUGAAAACUCGGGGCUUAACUCCGGGCCUGCAGUGGGUACGGGCAGACUAGAGUGCGGUAGGGGGAGACUGGAAUUCCUGGUGUAGCGGUGAAAUGCGCAGAUAUCAGGAGGAACACCGGUGGCGAAGGCGGGUCUCUGGGCCGAAAUUGACGCUGAGGAGCGAAAGCGUGGGGAGCAAACAGG